UACGUAGGGGGCUAGCGUUGUCCGGAAUCAUUGGGCGUAAAGAGCGCGUAGGCGGCCAGAUAAGUCCGGUGUGAAAGUCAAAGGCUCAACCUUUGAAUGCCGCUGGAAACUGUCUGGCUAGAGUCCGGGAGGGGCGAGUGGAAUUCCAGGUGUAGCGGUGAAAUGCGUAGAUAUCUGGAGGAACACCGGUGGCGAAGGCGACGUCCUGGACCGGCAUUGACGCUGAGGCGCGAAAGCCAGGGGAGCAAACGGG
rnacentral:rRNA from 1 species